rnacentral:rRNA from 1 species
UACGUAGGGGGCAAGCGUUGUCCGGAUUUAUUGGGCGUAAAGAGCUCGUAGGCGUCUCGGUAAGUCGGAUGUGAAACCUCCAGGCUCAACCUGGAGACGCCAUCUGAUACUGCCGUGGCUUGAGUCCGGUAGAGGAGCAGGGAAUUCCUGGUGUAGCGGUGAAAUGCGCAGAUAUCAGGAGGAACACCAGCGGCGAAGGCGCUGCUCUGGGCCGGUACUGACGCUGAGGAGCGAAAGCGUGGGGAGCGAACAGG